CCUGCACCCGAGGAGACUGGGCUGGACUCUCAUGGGUCCAGGGUAAACCGUGGGUCCGCUCUUGUGCGGACCAGGUGUGGCUGGGCCAGCCGCAGGGGUGACUGCAGGUUCCCUCCGUCAGGAGCCAGAGGAGGCCAUGGAAGGCCUGCCAUUGGCACCGGGGUGGCCAGUGUCUGCCUGCUGCCUAUCAGCACCAGGGAUCGCUGAUAAUGCCUGAGAAACCAGAUAGGAAGCCACCAUGUCCACAAGUGACUGAUCUAAGCAGCCUCCCCUUCAGACGUGUUACAGAUAAACGGGGCCGCUGCGUGCUUGAAGCUCCAGGGAGCACCGGCCAAUUGCAGGGGGGGAGCACUGAACUGGAAGAGGCCUGUGGGACAGGAGCCCCAGGAGAGACCCACCCACAGAAGAAGCUGAGGCAAAGCAAACAGAUCAUUAAUUGGCUACAGGGCGAAGCCUCGUUGGCUGUCUGUGAUUGGCUGUUCUUACAUUUCAAUUCCUUACCCUCAACCUUGAGGCAUUUACAGGCUCCCUCUGGGCUUAUUUACAUCAGCACCAAGGCGGCUGCGCCCCAGGGGUCUAGUGGCCACAGUGGUUGACGGCUCGCUGCAGUGCCUUCAGGAUCUCAACCUGAAUACACGUUUUAAGAAGAAAUGGAAGCUUCUUUCUUGGCUGCAGAGCCACCAGGAACCCAGGUUUCUUUCUAACUCCAGCACCCAGCGUUUGGUCUCUGUUCCCAACAGGGCCAGAAGGUGCUGUAUGACUGUGGGGCCCCCGCCCAUCACAUUCACGUUCUAGGCAGCAAGGAGGACUGGCAAAAGGGUGCACCAAAACGACACGUUUACCUUUAGGAGCUCCUCCCGGAGUGUCCCCCAGCCCGAGGCCUUUAUCCUCCUGUGUCCGUGGCCACACCCUGCAUCCAAGGCAGCUGGGAACCGAGGUGGGAUCGCUGGGCACAUUGUGGCCCUGAAUCAAAGGGCUGUCACUUAGCAAUACCAGCUCCGAGGGGCUUGGCCGGGGACAGAGCUUUUCCAGGGCAAGCACUCCACCCACCAGCAGGCCCAUAUGCAGCGUGAUGGCUCACGGAAAGGCCCUGACUGCCGCACCGGGACCCUUCCCCACUCUUCCGACCUGACUCUGAGCUCAGUCCUGGCUCCAGCCUCCCACUUGCUUGGGACGAGGUCGUGGGCAGGCCCUCGGUAGAUGUUUGCUGAAUUAAAUGAAAUCAUUGAA